rnacentral:rRNA from 1 species
GUCUACAGUCAUACCACCUGAACAUUGUUGAUCUUGUCUGAUCCUGAAAACUAAGCAGGGUCAGGCCUGGUUAGUACUUGGAUGGGAGAAAUGUUGAUU